GGUGAUCCUAUGCUGCCAAGAAAAUCCUCUAGCGAGGUUCGAGCCGCCCGUACCCCAAACCGACUCAGGUGGUUAGGUAGAGAAUACCAAGGCGAUCGAGUGAAUCGUGGUUAAGGAAUUCGGCAAAAUACCCCCGUAACUUCGGGAGAAGGGGGGCCCAGAGGGUGACGGGACUUGCUCCCCGAGCCUGAACGGCCGCAGAGACCAGGGAGAAGCGACUGUUUACUAAAAACACAGGUCCGUGCCAAGUCGCAAGACGAUGUAUACGGACUGACGCCUGCCCGGUGCUGGAACGUUAAGGGGACCGGUUAGCCUCACGGCGAAGCUGAGAACUUAAGCGCCAGUAAACGGCGGUGGUAACUAUAACCAUCCUAAGGUAGCGAAAUUCCUUGUCGGGUAAGUUCCGACCUGCACGAAUGGCGUAACGAUUUCUCCACUGUCUCAACCACGAACUCGGCGAAAUUGCACUACGAGUAAAGAUGCUCGUUACGCGCAGAAGGACGGAAAGACCCCGGGACCUUUACUACAGCUUGGUAUUGGUGUUCGGUACGGCUUGUGUAGGAUAGGUGGGAGACUGAGAAGCUGACACGCCAGUGUCGGUGGAGUCAACGUUGAAAUACCACUCUGGUCGUUCUGGAUAUCUAACCUAGGUCCGUGAUCCGGAUCAGGGACAGUGCCUGGUGGGUAGUUUAACUGGGGCGGUUGCCUCCUAAAAGGUAACGGAGGCGCCCAAAGGUUCCCUCAGCCUGGUUGGCAAUCAGGUUUUGAGUGUAAGUGCACAAGGGAGCUUGACUGUGAGACUGACAAGUCGAACAGGGACGAAAGUCGGGACUAGUGAUCCGGCGGUGGCUUGUGGAAGCGCCGUCGCUCAACGGAUAAAAGGUACCCCGGGGAUAACAGGCUGAUCUUGCCCAAGAGUCCAUAUCGACGGCAUGGUUUGGCACCUCGAUGUCGGCUCGUCGCAUCCUGGGGCUGGAGUAGGUCCCAAGGGUUGGGCUGUUCGCCCAUUAAAGCGGUACGCGAGCUGGGUUUAGAACGUCGUGAGACAGUUCGGUCCCUAUCCUCUGCGCGCGCAGGAAACUUGAGAAGGGCUGUCCCUAGUACGAGAGGACCGGGAUGGACGAACCUCUGGUGUGUCAGUUGUUCUGCCAAGAGCACCGCUGAUUAGCUACGUUCGGGAGUGAUAACCGCUGAGAGCAUCUAAGCGGGAAGCAUGCUUCAAGAUGAGGUUUCCAUGGGGUUUACCCCGAGAGGCUCCCAGCUAGACUACUGGGUUGAUAGGCCGGAUGUGGAAGUGCGGUAACGCAUGGAGCUGACCGGUACUAAUAAGCCGAUAACUUGACUC
rnacentral:rRNA from 1 species